rfam:Danio rerio chromosome 4, GRCz11 reference primary assembly.
GCAUUGAUGGUUCAGUGGUAGAAUUCUUGCCUCCCAUGCGGGAGAGCCGUGUCCGAUUCCCGGCCAAUGCA